rnacentral:rRNA from 1 species
GAUGAACGCUGGCGGCGUGCCUAAUACAUGCAAGUCGAGCGAACAGACGAGGAGCUUGCUCCUCUGACGUUAGCGGCGGACGGGUGAGUAACACGUGGAUAACCUACCUAUAAGACUGGGAUAACUUCGGGAAACCGGAGCUAAUACCGGAUAAUAUAUUGAACCGCAUGGUUCAAUAGUGAAAGACGGUUUUGCUGUCACUUAUAGAUGGAUCCGCGCCGCAUUAGCUAGUUGGUAAGGUAACGGCUUACCAAGGCAACGAUGCGUAGCCGACCUGAGAGGGUGAUCGGCCACACUGGAACUGAGACACGGUCCAGACUCCUACGGGAGGCAGCAGUAGGGAAUCUGCCGCAAUGGGCGAAAGCUUGACGGAGCAACGCCGCGUGAGUGAUGAAGGUCUUCGGAUCGUAAAACUCUGUUAUUAGGGAAGAACAAAUGUGUAAGUAACGAUGCACGUCUUGACGGUACCUAAUCAGAAAGCCACGGCUAACUACGU